GACGAACGCUGGCGGCGUGCCUAAUACAUGCAAGUCGAACGAGAGCGACCGGUGCUUGCACUGGUCAAUCUAGUGGCGAACGGGUGAGUAACACGUGGGUAACCUGCCCAUCAGAGGGGGAUAACAUCCGGAAACGGAUGCUAAAACCGCAUAGGUCUUCGAACCGCAUGGUUUGAAGAGGAAAAGAGGCGCAAGCUUCUGCUGAUGGAUGGACCCGCGGUGCAUUAGCUAGUUGGUGAGGUAACGGCUCACCAAGGCCGUGAUGCAUAGCCGACCUGAGAGGGUGAUCGGCCACAUUGGGACUGAGACACGGCCCAAACUCCUAUGGGAGGCAGCAGUAGGGAAUCUUCCGCAAUGGACGCAGGUCUGACGGAGCAACGCCGCGUGAGUGAAGAAGGUUUUCGGAUCGUAAAACUCUGUUGUUAGAGAAGAACAAGUGCUAGAGUAACUGUUAGCGCCUUGACGGUAUCUAACCAGAAAGCCACGGCUAACUACGUG
rnacentral:rRNA from 1 species